CCUGAGUGGUUAGCCUAACUCCCAGACCCUGUGAACGAUACAGCUGUUUGUUAGCUGGUCGGCGGUGCAACUCGCUCUCGUGGCGAGCCCGCAGAGACCACACUCCUUAAUGUUGAUCUAUGAGUUACUUCUGAUUAUACAAAUAAGUCA
rnacentral:misc_RNA from 1 species